CUGCCUUUGACUGAAAGCUUAGGAGUCUAGUCUGUAAUAUUUUCCAACAGACUCCACUGAAGAUAUUUCAUUUGGCUUAAAUGCUGGGAUGUACAAGAGCUGAACAAUAAUUUUUGCAAGUCGUGAAUUGCAUGAAGAGGAAACACUUGUGUGUCUUGAAGAGAACUUACACUAAAGAGAAGAUACACUAAACACAAACCCAUUUUGUCAAUGAAUGCAAGUGGGAAAACUUAGGAUUCUACCCAGCAAACAAGAUUCCUUCUACAUAGAAGGGAGUCAGGAACAUCUAAUUUGGUUCGACACCAUGAAGGACAAAGACUCAGAUCUCCUUUUUUUUUGCUCCUAAAAGCUUCAAGACUAAACUCCGUGAAUUAUCAGUGAUAGCAAAUUUUCGAAUAUCUUAAUAUUUAUUUUAUGUGCUUUCACAUGUCUCUGCUGAUCCGCGCAUGUGAGGAAAUGUGCCUACAGUGUCCAGAAGAGGGCGCUGGAACCCCUGGAGCUAGAGUUAUGCACAGUUGUGAGGCAUGGUGCUCCUGGGAACUCAACUGGGGUUCUCUGAAAGAACAGAACAUGCUCUUCACUGCUGAAGCAUUUACCUAGUAGGAAUAAGACAGUUUUAUCCCGCCAUCCUUGGAGGGGUGCCACAAUCUAGAUAUAAAAUGAAAAGGUAGAUUAUACCUCGGAGACUACAAACAUCAUCUUAAGAAGACAGUCUUUAGAAGUGAUGAAGAUUUGAGUUAGGUCUUGAAAGCAGCAUCGUGGAGAGGAAGGAAAUAGCUCUUUGAAAACUGCAUGAGCGGAGGUGGGCAGGUGAAUCACAAGUCCCAAGUAAUCAUUAUAUUAUGUUAAAAUCCAGAGCCAACAACUUACAUGAAAAUAAAGGAAAUAAUUCAUAGCUAUGCUCUUUAGGAAGGAUCUGUGAGCAAGGUUUAUGGUGUUGUAAAGCAUAUGUCUGUAUAAUUUGCGUCUCUGGAGGAAGAAGCAUCCAUCACUGGAGGCAGAGGUUCAGGAUUCUGUUUUCAUUUUUGUGCCCUUGUAACUUCCGGCAUCAUUCCACAGAUCUCAGGAAAAACUCAGUUCUCAGUUAUGGGUAGAGUAGAAAUGCGUGGGGCUUUGAUGGGGUAGGCAGCUAGGAUAAAGAGAUGGGUCUGGAAAAUAAGGGAUCGGAGGAAUGAAGAUGUGUAGAAGGGAAGGGGGUCACAUCACAGAGAAUCCACUUCCCUAAGCAGUUUCCACAUGGUACUGUGGCUGUGGCACUACCUCAACCAUUCACCUUAAAAGCUGGGGGGGGGGGGGGCGGUGGGGAGUCUGUGUCUGUCUUGCUCUCGCUCUUCCAACUCUAACUGCCUUUCCUUAAAAGUCAACAGAAAUUGAGGCCGAGCACGUAUGAUUAAUGCCAACCUGUCUGGAACAUGCCUCCAUCACUCCACCGUCUUCCCAUCUUUCUUAGAUGCUGAGAAAAUGCUUUUCACAGCUAUGAUGACACAGCCAGAAAUAUCACCUUUUGAAGACAUCGUAACUGUGAGAUAUGACACUCGUUUGGCCGUUAGGAGGUUAUUUGCUGUGGCCAUUAAAUACAGCCCUGUCACUUCCGCUCACCUGGGCUAUAUUUCCUCCUUCAAUAGACUAUCCAUAAAUAUCAGCUCAGGUAUAAAUAGAAAUAAUGCAUAUUUUCAGCUAAAGAAGACAUGCGCAGCAGAAUACUGCUGGAGGGGCAAAGUAGCAAGCCUUCUCUACGUGGGCUUUGCAAGUCCAGAGGCUGUAUGUUCUGGUGAGGUCUCAGAACUCAAAUCGGUAUGAUCUCUUUAGGUCAGUUAGGCCUCACACACAGCUACUAAAUUCAAGAAUAUUCUAGACUUCCCACUUGUUGGCCCAAUUUUUUUUUCUGCCACUUGAUAAUUGGAAUGAAUUCCUCGUGGUCAGAACUUAAUUCUAGUUACUUUUAAUACUGUUAACAAUACAUUAAACUUAAAUGUUCCCAAACGUUAAGGAGAUGAAUGAUAUACUCAUUGAACUCAAAUAAUUUUGUAUAUUCUCAUUUAAUACUUGAGAACUUUCUUAGGGAUCUGCUGAUCUACACAAAAAAUAUCACAAACCAAGGCUAACACUUUUACUCUUGUUCAAGAGUAAGACAACGAUGCUACCUGUGUGCGAUUUUGUAGCACAAGUGGCUAGCACUGUAGGUGUUUAUAGAAAAAGGCUGACCAUCAGUUCCCUGUGAUUGACAGCUUACCUGAGCUCUGUAGAAGAGAGACAACAGGAGCUUUUGGCUGGACAUCCUGGGGAAUGAGCCAAAAAAGAGAAACCAAGAAUAUUCCUAACGUACAUGGACGUAUUUUCUGGAAAACCCCGAGGAGUGGCUAGCUCAUCCUUCAAUGUAUCUUGACCAAGUGAAAUAGAGCCCAUGGAGGGGUGAGACUUAGCAUCACUUUGUGACUCAAGAGAGAUCAACCUACUUCAGAGAAGAAAGGCAUUAACUCAUUCAUAGAUGCUUCGAUUCUGUCCCAGAAAUGUACCCGAUGUUCAAGCCCGGAAUGCGCAUCUCUCAAGCACAUGGCCAUGACUACUGAGCGCCUGCUCUAAGGCACCUGUGCGUGGAUCUGCAACCUCAUCGGGCAUCCUGGUCACUGUCUCUCUGGCAACUUAUUUGGCUUUAUUUCCUUUCAUAGGAAUUAACAUGGCUUUUCUGCGCAUGCUCGCCCACAUUAUUUUUAUAUAUAUAUAACAUAUAUAUGGUAAACAUAUAUAAACAUAUAUGUGGUAAACAUAUAUAUAUGGUAAACAUAUAUAUGUAGAUAUAUGUGUGUGUGUGUGUAUAUAUAUAUAUAUAUAUAUAUAUAUAUAUAUAUAUUUCUUGUUUGUUGCUUGUUUCACUUAUCUAUCUCUCAAAUAGGGAUAUCAGUUUCCCCAGAAUCAGUUACUUUGUUUGUAUUUAGAUUUAAGGAAUAGCUAGUAUUUUAAUUUAAAUCAAUGUAUUUAAUUCAUUUGUACACUUUGAAAUUUAUACAUUUUGGUAUUUAAAACAUUAAAUUAAAGCAUAUUUAAAUUUAUUUAAAAUAUAAUUUAAAAUUUAUUAAAAAUAGUUUGAAAUUCAAUUCUUAAAUCCGAAUACAUUUUUAUCAUUUUCUUCCCCUUCCAGAAUUUCGUCCAGAUCCUCUCUACCCCCUCCUCACACAAACCCAGAACACAAUACAAUAAAAUGCCCAAAACCAUGAAAAAUAGCAGCCUCCCCCCCAAAAAAAGACUUGUACCCAAAAAAAGACACAGAAAUCUGUGGAUCUUGGUCUGUUGGUCAACUAUUCCUGAACAUGAGCUCUCCCCAGGGAUGGUUGAUAGACCUGUGUCGUUCCCCUGGAGAAAACUGAUUUUUUCCCUCUCUCAACGAGGAUAAAUGACAGUUCUGUUGUUAAUUGUAGGGAUAACGUUUUUGUUUUUAUACACCUUGUGGAGACGUGUCUCUGUCCUUUCUUGCUUACCUAAGGCAUCUUCUGCUUGGCUAAGAUAAAAAUCUCAUGGCCUAGGGCAAAUGGCAGCACAGUGAGAUGGAACUUCGGGACAGAGAAAGGAACUCUUGGGAUAGAUAAGUCAUGCCCGGGAGAUGUCACCCAGAUGUGCAGGGACUUGAACUGAACCCAAGGAUAGGUAACUAACUAGUCACAUGGCAGAACUUAGAUUGGUAUAAACGGGAUAACUGAGUUACAAACUAGUGGGAGGCAAGCUUAGCUUAAAGUCUAGGUAUUUAUUAAUAAAAAUAAUUCUCCACGUCAUAAUUCAGAGCAAGGUGGGAGGCCAGAAAGGCCCACAGUUACAGUUAACCUUUAUGGUAGUGGCUAGGCUUACAUUCAUUCAUAGUGUUUAAAAUACACCAUAACAGAAUGAACUAUAAUAAGAUAAAAGAAAAACUAUUGCCUCUAAGUCAGACAAGACAGACCUACAGCAGGAAAAGAGUCUAAGAGAGGACGAGAGUCAGGGACCCACUUGUCCCCAUGCUCAGAAAUCCCAUCAACACACGAAAAUGGAAGCCACAAUAUAUAGUCAUCAGACCAGGCGCGUGCUGCUUCAGUCUCUGUGAGCUCCUGUGACCUUUGCUCAUGGUGAUUUAGAGGGCCUUGUUAGAGGGUGUGGCCUUGUUUGAGUGGGUGUGGCCUUGUUUGAGUGGGUGUGGCCUUGUUGGAGUAGGUGUGGCCUUGUUGGAGUGGGUGUGGCCUUGUUGGAGUAGGUGUGGCCUUGUUGGAGUAGGCUUGUCACUGUGGGUGUGGGUUUAAGACCCUCACCCUAGCUGCCUGGCAGCCAGUCUUCCAUUAGCAGCCUUCAGACAAGAUGUAGAACUCUCACCUCUGCCUGCACCAUGCCUGCCUGGUUGGCGCCAUGCUUCCUGCCUUGAUGAUAAUGGACUGAAUCUCUGAACCUCUCCUAACAGCCAUCUUUUAUUGGCUAUAUAAUCGUUCCUGAAAAGAGAGUCAGAGACAAUAAGUGAAGGUUCCGUGUUUAUUUAGAGAGCUGAUUCCAGGAAGCAAAAAGUCCAGGAAUGGAAAAAAGCCACCAACAUGCCUGGAAGGAAGGAGCUGAUAAGCCAAUACAGCCUCGCAGCCCAGACUUCUUCAAAAUACCCUCUGCCACAAGCCAAGGAAGGAAAAUCAUUCUUCCUUCUCCAGUGUCAGUGGUCCUGGAUCACUGCCUCAACCUCCACCCUGUCUCACUGCUAUUGUUGCUUAUGAAACAUGAGGUCCACCCAUGACUCGCUUCCAUGAUUCACCUGAAUUAAUAACAAGGCUCCACACUGAGAAAUGAUAAUAUCUCUCACCGUGGAAUGCAGAGUGUUUGGAAAUGUGCCUGGACAAUCAAUCCUCAGCACCCAGAGACACCAAAGGGCAUCCAUUCUUUCCAUGAUAGGAAUACGGGUUUUGGGAUUGGAGGUUUCCAAUGCACCAUACAAAAAAGAACUACAGAGCUGAAAUUUCUUUUUAAAUCAGUGGUGUUUACUCUUGUUAGAUGACAUAGAUGUCUGAUUGGAUCUAUCGCAUAUCAUUCAGUUCUGCAGAUAAUAAUUACAUGUUUAAGCACAUACAUUACAGUAUUGGAGUCCACCUUCCAAUAUGUGGUGUUAUGCUGGAAUUUUAGCCUGUAGUUUCAAGGAUAAAUAUUGAAGAGACUGUCUGCAUGAGUUUCUUCUUUCUCUACCCCUAAUAUUGUAUUCUUUUCUUACACGAAUUAUAUGAAAAUGUUCGAAAAAUUUUUUCACUUACCAUAUAACUAUCCCUAAAUGAUACAAGGAAGUUUCUUGCUUCUGUAUUAACAGUGUACCCAAGGAACACUGAAACCAUGAGUACAUUUCUACCUAGGGCUAUUUUUAAAUAAUGUGGGUUCCUAAGACAUCAUUUUAUUAUACUCUAGCCAUUAAAGGGAUGACGUUUAGGAACUUUUGUGAACAUCUUACGUUCUAUUAUGGUUUUUUGUGACAAUAAAGUAUGAGUUUGUAUAAUGAAA